rnacentral:rRNA from 1 species
GUAGGUGGCAAGCGUUGUCCGGGAAUUGUUGGGGCGUAAAAGCGCGCGCAGGCGGUUCUUUAAGUCUGAUGUGAAAGCCCACGGGCUCAACCGUGGAGGGUCAUUGGAAACUGGAGAACUUGAGUACAGAAGAGGAAAGCGGAAUUCCACGUGUAGCGGUGAAAUGCGUAGAGAUGUGGAGGAACACCAGUGGCGAAGGCGGCUUUCUGGUCUGUAACUGACGCUGAGGCGCGAAAGCGUGGGGAGCAAACAGGAUUAGAUACCCUGGUAGUCCACGCCGUAAACGAUGAGUGCUAAGUGUUAGGGGGUUUCCGCCCCUUAGUGCUGCAGCUAACGCAUUAAGCACUCCGCCUGGGGAGUACGGCCGCAAAGGCUGA